rnacentral:rRNA from 1 species
GAUAAACGCUGGCGGCGUGCAUGAGACUUGCAAGUCGAACGGGUGACUUAGGGCUUGCUCUAAGUCGCUAGUGGCGGACGGCUGAGUAACGCGUAGGUGACCUACCCCGAAGUGGGGAAUAACUGCCCGAAAGGGUGGCUAAUACCGCAUGUGAUCGGUCAUUCAUUUGCUUGAUCAAAGCAGAAAUGCGCUUUGGGAGGGGCCUGCGUCCGAUUAGCUCGUUGGUGGGGUAAUGGCUCACCAAGGCGACGAUCGGUAGGUGGUCUGAGAGGACGAUCACCCAGACUGGGACUGAGACACGGCCCAGACUCCUACGGGAGGCAGCAGUCGGGAAUUUUGCUCAAUGGGGGAAACCCUGAAGCAGCAACGCCGCGUGAGGGAUGAAGGCCUUCGGGUUGUAAACCUCUUUUCUCAGGGACGAUGAUGACGGUACCUGAGGAAUAAGCCACGGCUAACUACGUGCCAGCCGCCGCGGUAA